rnacentral:misc_RNA from 1 species
GAUGAAGAACGUAGCGAAAUGCGAUAAGUAAUGUGAAUUGCAGAAUUCAGUGAAUCAUCGAAUCUUUGAACGCAUCUUGCGCUCCUUGGUAUUCCGAGGAGCAUGCCUGUUUGAGUGUCAUCAAGUUCUCAAACUGCAUCCAUUUGAAGGGUGUGGAUUUGGAUUAUGGAGUUUGCAGGCUCUUUGAUUGAGGUCUGCUCCUCUGAAAUGUAUUAGUGGCGAUGUGGAAAAGCUACUGUGGGUGUGAUAAAUAUCUAUGCCUUAUGCAGUGUUCUGCUAUGCCGCUUGCAGGGAGAAAUUUCAUUUUUGACAAACUUGACCUCAAAUCAGGUAGGACUACCCGCUGAACUUAAGCAUAUCAAUAAGCGGAGGG